rnacentral:rRNA from 1 species
UACGUAGGGGGCAAGCGUUGUCCGGAUUUAUUGGGCGUAAAGAGCGUGUAGGCGGCCAGACAGGUCAGCUGUGAAAACUCGAGGCUCAACCUCGAGACGUCGGUUGAAACCGUCUGGCUAGAGUCCGGAAGAGGAGAGUGGAAUUCCCGGUGUAGCGGUGAAAUGCGCAGAUAUCGGGAAGAACACCCGUGGCGAAGGCGGCUCUCUGGGACGGUACUGACGCUGAUGCACGAAAGCUGGGGGAGCAAACAGG